rnacentral:rRNA from 1 species
GACGAACGCUGGCGGCGCGCCUAACACAUGCAAGUCGAACGAGAGAUGAGGAGCUUGCUCUUCAAAUCGAGUGGCGAACGGGUGAGUAACGCGUGAGGAACCUGCCUCAAAGAGGGGGACAACAGUUGGAAACGACUGCUAAUACCGCAUAAGCCCACGGCUCGGCAUCGAGCAGAGGGAAAAGGAGCAAUCCGCUUUGAGAUGGCCUCGCGUCCGAUUAGCUAGUUGGUGAGGUAACGGCCCACCAAGGCGACGAUCGGUAGCCGGACUGAGAGGUUGAACGGCCACAUUGGGACUGAGACACGGCCCAGACUCCUACGGGAGGCAGCAGUGGGGAAUAUUGCACAAUGGGGGAAACCCUGAUGCAGCGACGCCGCGUGGAGGAAGAAGGUCUUCGGAUUGUAAACUCCUGUUGUUGAGGAAGAUAAUGACGGUACUCAACAAGGAAGUGACGGCUAACUACGUGCCAGCAGCCGCGGUAAAACGUAGGUCACAAGCGUUGUCCGGAAUUACUGGGUGUAAAGGGAGCGCAGGCGGGAGAACAAGUUGGAAGUGAAAUCCAUGGGCUCAACCCAUGAACUGCUUUCAAAACUGUUUUUCUUGAGUAGUGCAGAGGUAGGCGGAAUUCCCGGUGUAGCGGUGGAAUGCGUAGAUAUCGGGAGGAACACCAGUGGCAAAGGCGGCCUACUGGGCACCAACUGACGCUGAGGCUCGAAAGUGUGGGUAGCAAACAGGAUUAGAUACCCUGGUAGUCCACACCGUAAACGAUGAUUACUAGGUGUUGGAGGAUUGACCCCUUCAGUGCCGCAGUUAACACAAUAAGUAAUCCACCUGGGGAGUACGACCGCAAGGUUGAAACUCAAAGGAAUUGACGGGGGCCCGCACAAGCAGUGGAGUAUGUGGUUUAAUUCGACGCAACGCGAAGAACCUUACCAAGUCUUGACAUCCCUUGACGAUGCUGGAAACAGUAUUUCUCUUCGGAGCAAGGAGACAGGUGGUGCAUGGUUGUCGUCAGCUCGUGUCGUGAGAUGUUGGGUUAAGUCCCGCAACGAGCGCAACCCUUAUGGUCAGUUACUACGCAAGAGGACUCUGGCCAGACUGCCGUUGACAAAACGGAGGAAGGUGGGGAUGACGUCAAAUCAUCAUGCCCUUUAUGACUUGGGCUACACACGUACUACAAUGGCGUUAAACAAAGAGAAGCAAGACCGCGAGGUGGAGCAAAACUCAGAAACAACGUCCCAGUUCGGACUGCAGGCUGCAACUCGCCUGCACGAAGUCGGAAUUGCUAGUAAUCGUGGAUCAGCAUGCCACGGUGAAUACGUUCCCGGGCCUU